GGUGGAGCUCAGCGGGGGCGCGAGAGGGUCAGGUUUGGGAGGGAGUCUGGGCGCAAGCGGGGCGGUACCCUCCAGUACACAGUAGGGGCAAGAGGUUUUAGCGGUUGCGGGGUACCGGCAAGACUUGGGGCUGCGCUCUACUCUUUAAAGGAGCAGGACGCGGUUAGGGAGGACAUUCAUUCUUUAAAUGGCUUGAACAGCACAAUACUUAAACCAAGGACAUCCAUACUGCAUCACACCAAGUCCAAAUCAUUAGAGGACUGCCUCUGCUUGCACUGACCAGAGGAUGUUUGGAUUCUGAUGUCAGCCCAGUUCUGCAGCCUUACAGGAAUCAGGUGUUGUCCCCAGGGUACAUAGAAUUUAUUUUAUUUUUAUUUUUUUUGCAGCCAAACUAGUCUAACAUGCAUUUUGUUAACUGGAACUGGAGCAGCAAAACCAAGAAAACAAAUGCCUCAUUUCCCACCUUUGUGGGUGAGAGAACUGUAAGUGAAGAUUAUAAUGCCGGACAGUGACGGCCUUAAACCAGCUGCCUCAGGAGUCUGCCAAGAACUUGGCUGAAAAGAUGGCCCUCAUAUUAGCAAUGGAGCUAAAACUUAUCACACGUCUGCCCACCUUUAUUCGAAUGAAGAUCCUUCUGAUCUGACAGCUCAGAUGUCCUGGCUUGUUCCACCAUCCUGGCUAAUGGUGCUGCCCAAGAAUGUGA